rnacentral:rRNA from 1 species
UACGGGGGGUGCAAGCGUUGCUCGGAAUUACUGGGCGUAAAGGGAGCGUAGGCGGACAGUUUAGUCAGAGGUGAAAGCCCAGGGCUCAACCUUGGAAUUGCCUUUGAUACUGGCUGUCUUGAGUACGGGAGAGGUGUGUGGAACUCCGAGUGUAGAGGUGAAAUUCGUAGAUAUUCGGAAGAACACCAGUGGCGAAGGCGACACACUGGCCCGUUACUGACGCUGAGGCUCGAAAGCGUGGGGAGCAAACAGG